CAGAGGCAAGGAAUGAAAGCAAACAAUUAAAAAUGAACUCAGAAAAUAACAAGAGGAAGAAUUCGUCUUCAUGAAUUGAAUUGUCAGUUCUGCAGACAAUUAUCAAAAAUUUUACAGGAACACCUUGAGAGAUGUCGAAGUGUUUAUUUCAACAGCCCAAAGAAGAGAACCACAAUAUGGACACUCUCUGUCUUCACAAAUCCCCCAACGCAUGUUUUAUUCAACCUUCCAAUUUUUAGACAAAGAUUCUUGUUAGCCUCAUGAAAGACCUGGAUACUGGGGGAAAGAUGGUAUCAUAUUUUCAAUUAUGAUCAACUCACCUAAUCUGACGGAAGUGGUAAGAAGGAAGCUGGUGUGUAUGCUGAUUGUGAUUUUGAGAAUAAACUCUUACUUCUAAACCACUUACAAAAGUAUUUGCUUUUAGGAAAUGCUGUGUCUGGGUGAGGUACUAGUGGCAGUAACACCUAUUGUACUGUGACAAGUAUUUAAUGGAAUUUAGAAGUAAGGUUGAGCUAAGGAUGCUCCCAAUGUGGCAGGAUUCACAGCAAAGUAUACAAAGGAAAGACUAUGAGUGGAAAGUGACUUGUUAGAAUGUGAGCAGAGAUGUGUCCAGAGCCUCUUCCACCUGCUCGUGUGAAACCCUUAAAAGAUCCUCUAAAGUCUCUCCAGUGGUUCUGUCCAAGUGGAAAGAAGAGAAGGAAUAAGGUAGAGUAGGAAAAGGAGUUCUUCAUGCUUGGGAACGUGAAGAACAUUCUCCUAAAGUAAUGUUCUUAUUUCUAUUAAUCAGCUGUGCAUUGCUCAGGUGAUUUCUGAGAUGAGAUGCAUCAGAAUCCGUGCAUAUCUUUUGUGGUUCCAGAUAACAGCCUACUUCACUAAAAAAAAUCUUCCAGAAUCAUUAAGAGCAUUAAUUUUCAAAACUGUAGAAGGACUAUGGACAUCUUGUGCUUUUAGAGAAUGAACACACAACACAUUUUCUGUUAUAUCAGAGCUUACAGCUUCUAUCAAUUAAGAAAGUAUGGCUCCACUCAAUGAGCUAUAAAGUGAUAGCACAAGAAGGACUUUAGGAAUCAUUGAGCUCCCUUAUCUCUUUGGACAGAUGAGCAAACUGAGACCCAAACAGGAGAGGAGAGGACAAAGUCUUACCCUGGUCGCCUACUGAAUUUGUGGCAGGGUCAAACAACAUUUAUCCCAGAUUCUCAACUGACAUUUCCUUAUACUGUCUUCAUUUUGACCAUUAGCUUGUCAGCUUAAAGGAUUCAAUUAAUUCAAACAGGAUCUUGUAAUUAAAAAAAAUAGAAAAUACAAAAUACAAAAUCAGACUAACUUUCCGUGAGUCACUUUUCCAAAAUGUUUUGUAUCAAUGUGUAACAAACGAG
rnacentral:lncRNA from 1 species